UGAGGAAUAUUGGUCAAUGGGCGGGAGCCUGAACCAGCCAAGCCGCGUGAGGGAGGAAGGCCCUAUGGGUCGUAAACCUCUUUUGUCAGGGAACAAAAGCGAGUAUGUAUACUAGUCUGAGUGUACCUGAAGAAAAAGCAUCGGCUAACUCCGUGCCAGCAGCCGCGGCAAUACGGAGGAUGCGAGCGUUAUCCGGAUUUAUUGGGUUUAAAGGGUGCGUAGGCGGCGGUGCAAGUCAGCGGUAAAAGCCCGGGGCUCAACCCCGGCGAGCCGGUUGAAACUGCAGUGCUAGAGAAGGCGAGAGGUACGCGGAAUGCGCAGUGUAGCGGUGAAAUGCUUAGAUAUUGCGCAGAACUCCGAUUGCGAAGGCAGCGUACUGGCGCCUGACUGACGCUGAGGCACGAAAGCGUGGGGAUCGAACAGGAUUAGAUACC
rnacentral:rRNA from 1 species